GGAAUGCAUUUAUUCCUCCAGGGACUGAGUUCAUCCAUGCCUGGGACACCAUCAGUCUGUGAAUUUAAGAAGUUGCUGUUUACAAGUCAUCAGGAAGCGUUCCUGACACAUCUGUGGAGCUGACUUGUGGGAGGUGCAGAACACGAAGAAGUGGUGAGCAGUCAUUGAAGUCAACUGACAGGUGUCAUACGCUGGAAAGUCAUUACGCAGAGGAACGCAGGAGGCGGGCCCGUGAGUCGUGUGAAAUUGGAGGAAUGGAGAGCAUGCAGUCACAAUCACCAGCCCUGCCACUCUGCCAGGGAGCAGGACUGAACUGACUUUUGGCCCCUCUCGAAAGCAGCACAGUGUGCUCAGUUUAGAGUCCUCUGCUCAGGUAACAUGCCAACCCACGUCACUGUCGUAGAAAUAAGAGACAGCGGGGUUGGAGAGAAUGUCAAGAGGUUGUCCAAGGCAGCCACCUGUCCCAUGACAGGACUCACCUCUGCCUGAAGCAUUUCCAACAGGUACGUGCCCAAUUGCCACACACAGCCCAAGGACCUGCCUUGAAAAUCUCUUCCUGCUAGUUCCUCCUCAGUGACUGGUCUAAAUCUUCCUCGAAUCAAUAAGUCUCUUAAUUCUUCUUCUAUCCAGCGUAGACAUAAGACACUGAAAAGAUGAAAGGAGACAUAAGACACUGAAAAGAUGAAAGGACUCAAUUGUUCUCUUUGUAUUUGAAGACUUGUAGUUCCUUUAAGUACGCUGUUGGGAAACCUACUGAACCUCUUAUCUCCUUACACUUCUCAUUCUCAGAUACUUACGUCCUGAUGUUUUAUUGAUUUCACUUCAAUCUCAUUGCUGCUUCCUGAACCGCUUACAUUUCCUAACAAGCGUAGUACAAAACCAGACCUGCUACUUCAGCUGAUGCCUCACCAGAGCUGAACGGUUAUUUUACAUCACGUAGAUGACAAUGUUUAUACACCACCAUGUAUCUGUCCCAUUGUGCAGCACCACAGUGUUGUUAGAACACGUCACCAAACAAACACAAACCACCUACCUGACAUUUUUCUGCCCAGCUGACCUCUAAUUCCUUUGUCCAAUAUCUCAAGAUGGUUUGGACUCCUAUGCAUGCUGUGAUCUUGAACAUGAGCUAUUUUUCAUACUUGUGUUAAUAAGCAGAAGACUCAUCUCACCCGCAGACUGGUCCAAAGUUUCAAAAAGCAGAGAUCAAGUCAACAAUAGAAUCAAGUAAUUCUUAGUUCUGCUGAAAUCUAUCAGAAAAGUUCUUGCAACUUCCAACAACACAAAGAUGUGAUCCACCAGAACAGAUUGACAGACUGGAUAUCUUGGUUUUAUUUUUGUCAGAGCCAAGCAUGCUAAGUCAAGAUCAGAGACAUGCACAGCAUGCCAUACAAACUAAACUGCUCGUUGGCAAUGACAUUUUGCAUAUGCGUCCUACAAUCCAUCAAUUGCUGCUUAUAUGUGGUUGUUUGGUAUUCUUUUCUGUACCUUUCAAAAAAUAAACAGCCAAGAC
rnacentral:lncRNA from 7 species